UACGGAGGGUGCAAGCGUUAUCCGGAUUCACUGGGUUUAAAGGGUGCGUAGGUGGGGAGGUAAGUCAGCGGUGAAAUCCCCGAGCUUAACUUGGGAACUGCCAUUGAUACUAUCUCUCUUGAAUACCUUGGAGGUGAGCGGAAUAUGUCAUGUAGCGGUGAAAUGCUUAGAUAUGACAUAGAACACCAAUUGCGAAGGCAGCUCACUACACGGUCAUUGACACUGAGGCACGAAAGCGUGGGUAGCAAACAGGG
rnacentral:rRNA from 1 species